rnacentral:rRNA from 1 species
AUGAACGCUAGCUACAGGCUUAACACAUGCAAGUCGAGGGGCAUCAGUUUGGUUUGCUUGCAAACCAAAGCUGGCGACCGGCGCACGGGUGAGUAACACGUAUCCAACCUACCUCAUACUCGGGGAUAGCCUUUCGAAAGAAAGAUUAAUAUCCGAUAGCAUAUAUUUCCCGCAUGGGUUUUAUAUUAAAGAAAUUCGGUAUGAGAUGGGGAUGCGUUCCAUUAGUUUGUUGGGGGGGUAACGGCCCACCAAGACUACGAUGGAUAGGGGUUCUGAGAGGAAGGUCCCCCACAUUGGAACUGAGACACGGUCCAAACUCCUACGGGAGGCAGCAGUGAGGAAUAUUGGUCAAUGGACGCGAGUCUGAACCAGCCAAGUAGCGUGAAGGAUGACUGCCCUAUGGGUUGUAAACUUCUUUUAUAUGGGAAUAAAGUGGUCCACGUGUGGACUUUUGUAUGUACCAUAUGAAUAAGGAUCGGCUAACUCCGUGCCAGCAGCCGCGGUAAUACGGAGGAUCCGAGCGUUAUCCGGAUUUAUUGGGUUUAAAGGGAGCGUAGGCGGAUUGUUAAGUCAGUUGUGAAAGUUUGCGGCUCAACCGUAAAAUUGCAGUUGAUACUGGCAGUCUUGAGUGCAGUAGAGGUGGGCGGAAUUCGUGGUGUAGCGGUGAAAUGCUUAGAUAUCACGAAGAACUCCGAUUGCGAAGGCAGCUCACUGGAGUGUAACUGACGCUGAUGCUCGAAAGUGUGGGUAUCAAACAGGAUUAGAUACCCUGGUAGUCCACACAGUAAACGAUGAAUACUCGCUGUUUGCGAUAUACAGUAAGCGGCCAAGCGAAAGCAUUAAGUAUUCCACCUGGGGAGUACGCCGGCAACGGUGAAACUCAAAGGAAUUGACGGGGGCCCGCACAAGCGGAGGAACAUGUGGUUUAAUUCGAUGAUACGCGAGGAACCUUACCCGGGCUCAAACGGCAGAGGAAAGUUUUUGAAAGGAGGCUGCUCUACGGAGUCUCUGCCGAGGUGCUGCAUGGUUGUCGUCAGCUCGUGCCGUGAGGUGUCGGCUUAAGUGCCAUAACGAGCGCAACCCUUAUCUUCAGUUACUAACAGGUCAUGCUGAGGACUCUGGAGAGACUGCCGUCGUAAGAUGUGAGGAAGGUGGGGAUGACGUCAAAUCAGCACGGCCCUUACGUCCGGGGCUACACACGUGUUACAAUGGGGGGUACAGAAGGCCGCUACCUGGUGACAGGAUGCCAAUCCCAAAAACCUCUCUCAGUUCGGAUCGAAGUCUGCAACCCGACUUCGUGAAGCUGGAUUCGCUAGUAAUCGCGCAUCAGCCAUGGCGCGGUGAAUACGUUCCCGGGCCUUGUACACACCGCCCGUCAAGCCAUGAAAGCCGGGGGUACCUGAAGUACGUAACCGCAAGGAGCGUCCUAGGGUAAAACUGGUAAUUGGGGCU